CAGAGGAAGAACUCCUAGACCAGCUGCAGGGGAGACCAGUAAGAGGUUUGCCUCUCCCGUGGGGCUGUGGCACUGCCCCAGGACAGCAGCUAGGCACCAAACAGUGUGUGCCAGGAAGUAAUACAAGAAGAAGAGCGCCAUGAGAACUGAUCUCUGCUUCAACAGUCUGUGGAGAGAGGAAAAAGGGAGUUCAGACUCAUUCCCUGCAUGCAAUCACAAGGAAGGGCAUCUUUUUGCCAUUCCCACACAGAACCCAGAUGGCAGGUUGCGCCACAGAUGGUUAUGGAUUCUCUAGAAGAUCAUGUUCCAUGUCUUCCACUGUUUGCUAUGAUGUAUGCUGGGUAACUUGUGGCUCCUCUCCUGACACUUGUGAUCACCAGCAGCUGUGAGAAAUGGGACCAUGAGUGGGGGCUUCCCUUGGGGCACUGGGAUUGGCUCCCUCCUGCCUCACUCGUUAUGUACCUCAGCUGUGGAGGCUGAGAGGAUCUGAUAAGAAGAUUGUGUGAUGGCUGGAGGGCUGUAUGAACAAGCACAAACCCAUUGGAGGAUGCCUUGUUACCAGAUUCUGUAUGAGUAGUGCAUCUCCCAGAAAAGGCAAUGGAGCAGACUAACCACUGAUGUCACUUCACAGAUACAGCAACCUCAUGGCACAUGUGUUAUUCAGCUAUUUUAUACAUUGGGUUCAGGAAAUGCUGUAGGAAUAUCUGUGUAGAGGAAGCACAGCUAACGCACAAAGCUUACUUCACACCUCGGCUGUGAUGGAUGCUGGAGAUGGUUCCCUGAUAACCUGGUCUGUUAACUCUUACCAUUGGGUUAUUGUGUGAAAUGACAGAAGAAUUGCAGAAAAAAGGUGUGAAGAAUGUUGAUAUGGGUUAUGAAUAAAGCUGUGCACCAUUGUAAGCCACUAUAAAAAUAUAGAACAAAGUAGAGAACUUCUGACAAAUAGAACUGCGUUGAAGGAAGUGCCCUAUGUUGUUUAUUACUGAUGUCACAAAGCAGUUUUUUGAAUAGCAUGAAUCAUUUUCCAGCUCUAGCAGAAAACAACGGUCUGCUGAGGCACUUGCUGCCUCUAUUUGUUAAGGCACAUCCUUUUUUUGUCAGCAGAAAUAAUGCCACAGUGUGCUUCAACAAGUUUUAUUCCUCCCCGUGUGUUUCCAUGCUGCAUUUCCUUUUUUUUCCAUAUCUGAAGCUGUUCUUUCCUGCUGUUAUGUUCAUUAACUUCACCUCCAGAAUGAGCAGCUGGAAUCUGCCCAUAUUUCCCUAUGAAAUAAUACUUGGCAGCGAGGCUGCAAGACCCUGCUGCAUCUUCCCAUCGCCAUUGGUUCAUGGUAUUUUUCACAGUAGUGAAGAACAGCAAAGCAGCUCAUGAUCUAGGAUUGGUGCAUGCUUUAAACAGGCCAUUUCCUAUGCAUUCGUUUAAUAAGGGCAGAUGAGAGGUGGCUCUUGCUUCAGAUUUCCUCACUGGGGCCGUCCUGGUGAGGCACUCCUGGCAGACCUGGCUCCCAGGAGGUUCUGCAACCAGCAGCCACUUCCACAGCCCUGUGUGCCAGAUGGUGGCCUUGUCCAAGAGUUGAUUGGUCUCUGCAUCUAAACCUGGCUAUGCAAAACCAACCAAGCUAGAGAGCUGCCAAGCCUCUUCCAGAACUAGCAUCUGAAAUGUAAUAUGACUUCCAGAGUCCAGUUUGUUGCAAAAGAUCUCUGCUUCCAAUUUUUUUUCCAGUAAGUCCAUGCUCUUUAGAGCACUCCGUUGAUUUUCAUCCCAUCAGUUGGCUUUUGGAGGUUAGAUCACUUCUGCUGCUGUAUUUGGCUUAACCAAUUUUUGAAGCAAAACCACAAUCUCAUUUGUGCUCAUUUAUGUUGUAACUAAUGACAGCAACAUAUUAGACACCUGGAGAAAGUCUGCUCAAACUCCUGGGACAAUAACACAGGCACAAAUCUCCCCAAAACCACCUGCCUGCAUCAUCUGCAGCAUCUCCUUGGAUUUAAGUGGUUUAAGGAAGCUGGCUCACGCAAUUGUUGUUAAGCAUUUCUGCUUCCAUUGGAGGCCAAAACCAGAGAGAAAGUGGAACUUUCAGAAAGAACAUGAAGAAACAAAUUCAUUUCUUGAGUUUCAAAGUAUAUCUUUGAUCUUUUUGUAGGAAACAUCAGUUGUUUAUUUCUUCAGAUCAAUUUGCCCAUCUCCAGCUGUCUCCAAAUGCCUUCAGAAGAAUGGGAACAUUCGUUUUAGCAACAAUAGUACUAUGAAAUUAUAAAAUCCAAGACUGGUUACUAAUUAUCCUUGUCUGGAAUAGAAGAAAUUAUAGAAGCUAUUAAAACACAGAGGACAAGGAAAUAAAUGUGGAUGUCUCCCAUUUUAAAAAGCUCAAGAAAAAAGAAUGUAAUUCAAAAGAGGAGGCUUCUAUUUGCAGAUUUAGAAAAAUGGAAAACCUAAAUAUUUCAGAUAAGACUAAGAAACCUAGGCAUGAUGUUGAUAGAACUAAGGGUCAUUAAAACCAACCACAAUGAAGAGAGACUCGGAGCACCUAAAAACAUAACAGCCAUAGAAUCGUGGAAUAUCCCAAGUUGGAAGGGACCCACGAGGAUCUUAACAUCUGGCUCCUGAUAGCACCACCCAAAAAUCAGACCAUAUGACUGAGAGUGUUAUCCAGACACAUCCUGAAAUCAGGCAGCUUGGUGCCAUGGCCAUUGCUCUGAGCAGCCUCUUCCUGAUACCCAGCCUGACCUCCCUGUCACAGAUCCACACUGUUCCUUUGGGUUCUGCCACUGGUCACCAGAGAGAGGAGAUCGUUGUUUGGAUGAAAUUAAAGGAAGCUGAUCAGUGUGUGAUGGUAUGGCCAACUCAUAAACUGGUAAAACGUGGAUAAUGGCUGAGAUAAGUAAUAUUGCAAAUGUGACCAUGUAAUAUUUGAGAUCAGCAACACACCCUCACCUGAAGGACAGCAUUCGAUUCUGUUGGCAGAAGGAAUUUGGAAAUAAUUUGCUGAGAAAAGCGGUGAAGAAAUGUCAGAAAAAUGGUAAGUAGGAAAAAUAUGAAUAGAAGGGAAUGUAUAAAGAUGUUUAGAGAAAUAAUGAGAAACCUUGUACUUCCAUAUACUUCUAUUGCAAGAGCAAACAUCUUAAAUCAGAAGACAUAACAUCUGAUCUGUUGGGAAGUGUUUCACUGAGGAUCUGCUUGUCUUGAGAUGCUGCCCAUUUUCUGGAUAAAUGCACUGAGCACUGGAGAAGUGGGAAAAAGCCCUCUAAAAAUUGCUUGCCCUGGCGUGAAUGAUUGUCAUCCUCAAAUUCAUGUCUUGAAUCUAGAGCAGGCCCUGGGGAACUGUAAAUAUCUGAAAGACUUUCUAGGCACCAUAUGGUGGUUAUGAAAGGAUCUAACACAGGCCCAGUUCUGAGUCAGAAGAAUGGAAAUGAGGAGGGCUAAAUCUUGGAAAGCAGGGUGUUCGUGGUUAUGAAACCAGAAGUGGCAGACAGACUUAAGCCCUCUACACUUCAGCAACACUUGCUCUCUAUCUAUUUAUAAUUCAUUUUGCUAGAGGGGCAUUAUUCAAGUGAGAAAAUACUCUUCCGCUCCAGCAUGGGAGUGAAGGCACUGUUGUAAGAAAAGCAAAGCAAAUUGAGCUAUUUUAAGUGUCUGAAGAGGCACUGAAUCCAGCUAUGUACUUGCAAAAGGUUCUGCCUUUACUGUUGCCUUGCUCCCCAUACUGCAUGAGCAAUGCCUGUUAUCUAGCAUCUCCUUGAACAGGCGGCUCUGCAAAGCCUGUGUUGUAUUGCUCUGAUAAAGCAAAGCCUGAUAUCAUGCAACUACCCACACAAGUGCAGCUAAGAUGUUUUGGGGUACAUUGAUUAAAGCAGAGAGUUCUUUUGGGGCAUCCGCGUUGUGCCAGAAUAUUGCUUUCCCAGCAAUCUCCUCCCUCCCCAAGCAGGACCGAACUGCCUUGCUGUAUGCACCCCACAUGGCAUCCCCACCUCCUUGUAUUCUUUCAUUGCUGCUCCAGCUCCAGCUGUCCCCUCAUACGAGUGCUGAGUUGUUUGUGUUUAACUGCCCACAUCCCUCUGAGCAGGCCAGGACCUGCAAAGCAUCACUUAUUUGUUCGUGACGUUCCUUUGACAAGCUCCUGCCUGCUCCCCUGUUAGGGCACCGUGCU